GGCCCUGUGGCCUAAUGGAUAAGGCGUCGGUCUCCGGAGCCGAAGACUGCAGGUUCGAGUCCUGCCAGGGUCG
rfam:Ancylostoma duodenale strain Zhejiang A_duodenale-1.0_Cont7519.2, whole genome shotgun sequence.